GCCUGGAUAGAGGGGUCAAGGCAUGAGACCCUUAAUCUCAGGCUCACGGGUUCGAGCCCCACGUUGGGUG